rnacentral:lncRNA from 10 species
CCCCACUAUCCCUCCUCCUCAGAUACAGCAACUCUGUAGGGCCAGGGAUGUGCUUGUGAAUGGGACUGGCUUCCCGGGAAAGGCAAACAGAGCAGGCAGUGGUGACUGUGGGCAAAUUAACCUGUUUGGCCUUUCCUUCUUCUUCUUGAAAAGAGAGAGAGAGAAAUGAUAGACCAGGUGUGGUGGCUCAUACCUGUAAUCCCAGUGCUUCGGGAGGCCAAGGUGGGAGGAUCACUUGAGGCCAGGAGUUUGAGACCAGCCAUAGCAAGACUCCAUCUGUACAAAAAAACUUGGUAACUUGCUAGAAAUGCAGACUCUUGGGCCCCACUCCAGACCUGCUGAAUCAGAAACUCUGGGGCUGGGCCCAGCAAUCUGUGUGUUAACAGGCCUUCAGAUAACGCUGAUGCACACUCGAGUUUGAGAAUAUAAAGGGCUGACAUGAAGGGCUUACCACUGUGCUUGUCCUGUGCACGUGAGAAGCCCUCCUAAAAAUUGUCUUUCGUCUUUGGAGGGGAUAAGCUGGACCCUGAAGAGUAAGUAAAAUAUGGCAGCAUCUUUGCAUCUCAUCCACAAAUUUGAGUUGCUCAGAAAUACAUCACUUCUUAAAAAUGUUCGGUGACUCACUGAAUCUCCGACUCAUAUCCUCCACGUUGCUGCGCUGGCAUAAAAGUAAACUUCAGUCCUUCUUGACUUUUCCAUGCCUUUCUGGGGUUGGGUGUUGGUUCUUGGGUUUCACACAGUGCUGAGAGGCGUCUAGGUCCUCCAUCCACUUGGGUGACCAUUCAGCUCUUCAUCCUUCCGGUCCACAUGACCCCUUCCAAAUUAGAAGCCUCGGCUGCUCUCAGAGCUCGCUUGGGGCCCCAGGCUCUUCACUGAAGCUGCCUUGAGCACCAUCAUCCAGAGCCACAGACUCAUAUGCCCAAAGGGACCAGGUUCAUCAAGGAGACAAAGUGGACUGGCUGGCCAGGUGCGGUGGCUGACGCCUGUAAUCUCAGCACUUUGGAAGGCCGAGGCGGGCGGAUCACCUGAGGCCAGGAGUUCAAGACUCGCAUGGCUAACAUGGUGAAACCCCGUCUCUACUACAAAAAUUAGCCAGGCACGGUGGCGCGCGGCUGUAGUCCCAGCUACUCAGGAGGCCGAGGCAGGAGAAUGAACCCGGGAGGUGGAGACUGCAGUGAGCUGAGAUCGCGCCACUGCACUCCAGCCUGGGUGACAGAGCGAGACUCCAUCUCAAAAACAAACAAAGUGGACUGGCUGUGACCCAGCAGCAAGAGGUGGGGACUGUGGGGACGUAUCAUGUUUGUGCCAGGCUCACAGGCGUGCCUCUGGAAACACAGGCCUAGCGCUACCAGAUCUCUUUAUCCAGACAAGCUGCAAAUCUAAAUCUGAACUUUCAAGAGAAAUUUGAAAUAAUCUAUCUUUUAUUUUCGAUGUUGUUGUUGUUGUUGUUUUGGUUUUCUGAGACAGGGUCUUUCUCUGUUGCCCAGGCUGGAGUGCAGUGGCAUGAUCAUAGCUCACUGGGCUCAAGUGAUUCUCCCGCCUCAGCCUCCUAAGUAGCUGGGACUACAGAUGAGUGCCACCACGCCUGGCUAAUUUUUUAUUUUCGUAGAGAUGGGGGUCUUGCUAUGCUGUCCAGGCUAGCCUCAAACACCUGGCCUCAAGCAAUCCUCCCACCUCAGCCUCCCAAAGUGCUGGGAUUACAGGUGUGAGCCACCACACCCAGCCUCAGUCUUUUAAAUUUUGGAAAUCCAUCAGAAAAAAUUAAAACACUACAUGGGCCAAACCAAACGGCUGUGAGCAGGAUUCAGCUCAAGUGGGGAUGAGUUAGGGUUUCCGGGCUUGGAGGCAGCCUCUUCUCCAGGGUCCUGCUUCCUCCCCAGGGAGGUGCCAGGAAGCACAACCCCAAGACCCACAGCCCAGGAUCCCACUACUCCCUCUCUCUCUUCUCUCUCCCCCAGCCACAGGAAGUCUCUCUGCAACUGGGAGAGGAGUUCUGUUCUCCCCACUGUGGCUCCAAAACCCUUGGUGGUACCUCAAAUCCCCUCCAACCCCUUAGUUCUUCUGAGGACUCUCUAAAUUCUCCUAAAAGAGAAGAAAAGCCAGAAAGAUGUAUGAGCUAUUUCUUGUUCCCCUUCUGCUAUAUCCCUCCCCUGAGGCAACAGCUGCCUGUUUUGAUG